GGAGACCAGCCUUGGCUGGACCACUUCCACCCCAGAGGCUCUUCACCGCCUCCCCAUCCAGACCCAAGGUUCCCUAGUGGUCCAGACGGUUUCCUUGGCAGCGCUGGCACCAGGCCCACCACAGCUGCCAAACAUGAGGUGAUGGGACAGCCCUCGUGGCCUCCACCCACCGCCCUGGUGGAGAAGUGAAACAUGAACCCACCAGUGCAAGACAGAGGAAGAGGCACCAGCGAAGUCACACUAGGGAGAAUCCACAUCAGCCUGGCCAUGCAGGGGAGGCCUCACGAAGCCCUGGGAAGCCAGAGCAAUAAAACUCUUGUUCAAACAAACGAUUACAGUGGUAAGACACGAAAAGGAAGCUGUUCCUGCUGAUGAAGGGUGAGAAACCUGGAGCCUUCCCUCCCUCCACGCCACGUGGCAGACACCUCAGGGAAUGCUGGGUCUCAGGAGAACAUGCCGAUCCCGUUAACACACAGUCUUCAUAUGAAACCAUGUGGGAACUCAACACAUGCUGUCUCCUCUCUAACCUGAGAUCCUGGCCCUGUUCCACAAAGCGAGGCAGCCUCUUAUAUACCCCUCACAAACCAAGUACUGGGGUGGUGGCCAAAGGGGAGAGACAGGCUAGGGUGUGGGUGGGCCGAAGAAAUCUGAGAGGGACAGGAGCUGCGGUGGCCUGGUCUCUGAGCCUGCAGAGGCUCCCUUCCAGAGAGAGAGCUUGGAACUCAGUCUCUGCCUCCCUCCUUCUCUCCCUCCCUCCAGCAGAACUGCCCUGCCCCAGGGGGUUCAUACCUCGCUAGUCCCCUAGGCCUACACCUUUCCUAAUCUUAGGAGAGACAUAAGAAAAGGAAUCUCUCCCCUUCCCCGCAGAAUACUUUUUUUUUUUUUUUAAACAGGGUCUCUCUCUGUCACCUGGCUGGAGUGCAGUGGCGCAAUCAUGCUCACUGCAACUCUGCCUCCUGGGCUCAAGUGAUCCUCCCACCUCAGCCUCCCAAGUAGCUGGGACCACAGGCAUGCACCACCACGCCUGGCUAAUUUUUGUAUUUUUUGUAGAGAUGGGAUUUCGCCAUGUUGCCCAGGCUGGUCUCAAACUCCCAGCCUCAAGUGAUCCUCCCACCUAGGCCUCCCAAAGUGCUGGGAUUACAGGCAUGAGCCACCGUGCCUGGCCCACAAUACUUUGGUAUAGUUGCUUCAAGCCCAGAUUCUGGUUCUUCGCACAGUCAACCUAUAGGGUGCCCCCCCACCGCCCCCCCCAUAGUCCUUGAUAGUCAUGCUGGGUUAGUUUCUCUAACCAGAGGAUGGGCCCAUUCUUCGCUGUGAGAUGGUGUGUGGGGACAUCGGUAAGGAACAAAUAAAGACUUGGGCAAAUAACUUUAUUCUGAGGUUGGUUAUCUCAGCCACAGGCUGAGCAUCAUAGUACCUAUUCCGCAGGGCUAUUUGGAGGAUUAAAUGAGAUAAUGUGUAUCAAAGCCCAACAUGACAGGAGCUCAGCGUAGAAGCAGUUCCAUACCAGAAAAAAGGAUGGCUUUGUCCCUUAGGUGUCGUGUCACCUCAGAUAAGGCAUUUCCCCUCUUUGAACUCCAGUUUCCUCAUUUGUAAAAUGAGCAUGUUUAAAAUUUUUUUUACUUAAAAAAGGGGCAUAUUAAUAUCUACCCUUCACAGUUGCUAUAAGUAGAGGCGAUUCACAUGACGUGGUUGAUACCUGGCACAAAGAAAGUA
rnacentral:lncRNA from 10 species